rnacentral:rRNA from 1 species
UUAAGCGACUAAGCGUACACGGUGGAUGCCCUGGCAGUCAGAGGCGAUGAAGGGCGUGCUAAUCUGCGAUAAGCGCCGGUAAGGUGAUAUGAACCGUUAUAACCGGCGAUACCCGAAUGGGGAAACCCAGUGUGAUUCGUCACACUAUCAUUAACUGAAUCCAUAGGUUAAUGAGGCGAACCGGGGGAACUGAAACAUCUAAGUACCCCGAGGAAAAGAAAUCAACCGAGAUUCCCCCAGUAGCGGCGAGCGAACGGGGAGGAGCCCAGAGCCUGAAUCAGCAUGUGUGUUAGUGGAAGCGUCUGGAAAGGCGCGCGAUACAGGGUGACAGCCCCGUACACAAAAGCGCAUGUGCUGUGAGCUCGAUGAGUAGGGCGGGACACGUGGUAUCCUGUCUGAAUAUGGGGGGACCAUCCUCCAAGGCUAAAUACUCCUGACUGACCGAUAGUGAACCAGUACCGUGAGGGAAAGGCGAAAAGAACCCCGGCGAGGGGAGUGAAAAAGAACCUGAAACCGUGUACGUACAAGCAGUGGGAGCACAGGUUUACCUGUGUGACUGCGUACCUUUUGUAUAAUGGGUCAGCGACUUAUAUUCUGUAGCAAGGUUAACCGUAUAGGGGAGCCGUAGGGAAACCGAGUCUUAACCGGGCGUUAAGUUGCAGGGUAUAGACCCGAAACCCGGUGAUCUAGCCAUGGGCAGGUUGAAGGUUGGGUAACACUAACUGGAGGACCGAACCGACUAAUGUUGAAAAAUUAGCGGAUGACCUGUGGCUGGGGGUGAAAGGCCAAUCAAACCGGGAGAUAGCUGGUUCUCCCCGAAAGCUAUUUAGGUAGCGCCUCGUGAAUUCAUCUCCGGGGGUAGAGCACUGUUUCGGCUAGGGGGCCAUCCCGGCUUACCAACCCGAUGCAAACUGCGAAUACCGGAGAAUGUUAUCACGGGAGACACACGGCGGGUGCUAACGUCCGUCGUGAAGAGGGAAACAACCCAGACCGCCAGCUAAGGUCCCAAAGUCAUGGUUAAGUGGGAAACGAUGUGGGAAGGCCCAGACAGCCAGGAUGUUGGCUUAGAAGCAGCCAUCAUUUAAAGAAAGCGUAAUAGCUCACUGGUCGAGUCGGCCUGCGCGGAAGAUGUAACGGGGCUAAACCAUGCACCGAAGCUGCGGCAGCGACACUGUGUGUUGUUGGGUAGGGGAGCGUUCUGUAAGCCUGUGAAGGUGGCCUGUGAGGGUUGCUGGAGGUAUCAGAAGUGCGAAUGCUGACAUAAGUAACGAUAAAGCGGGUGAAAAGCCCGCUCGCCGGAAGACCAAGGGUUCCUGUCCAACGUUAAUCGGGGCAGGGUGAGUCGACCCCUAAGGCGAGGCCGAAAGGCGUAGUCGAUGGGAAACGGGUUAAUAUUCCCGUACUUGGUGUUACUGCGAAGGGGGGACGGAGAAGGCUAUGUUGGCCGGGCGACGGUUGUCCCGGUUUAAGCGUGUAGGUGUGUGUUCCAGGUAAAUCCGGUUCACUUUAACACUGAGGCGUGACGACGAGGCACUACGGUGCUGAAGCAACAAAUGCCCUGCUUCCAGGAAAAGCCUCUAAGCAUCAGGUAACAUCAAAUCGUACCCCAAACCGACACAGGUGGUCAGGUAGAGAAUACCAAGGCGCUUGAGAGAACUCGGGUGAAGGAACUAGGCAAAAUGGUGCCGUAACUUCGGGAGAAGGCACGCUGACACGUAGGUGAAGUGAUUUACUCAUGGAGCUGAAGUCAGUCGAAGAUACCAGCUGGCUGCAACUGUUUAUUAAAAACACAGCACUGUGCAAACACGAAAGUGGACGUAUACGGUGUGACGCCUGCCCGGUGCCGGAAGGUUAAUUGAUGGGGUCAGCGCAAGCGAAGCUCCUGAUCGAAGCCCCGGUAAACGGCGGCCGUAACUAUAACGGUCCUAAGGUAGCGAAAUUCCUUGUCGGGUAAGUUCCGACCUGCACGAAUGGCGUAAUGAUGGCCAGGCUGUCUCCACCCGAGACUCAGUGAAAUUGAACUCGCUGUGAAGAUGCAGUGUACCCGCGGCAAGACGGAAAGACCCCGUGAACCUUUACUAUAGCUUGACACUGAACAUUGAGCCUUGAUGUGUAGGAUAGGUGGGAGGCUUUGAAGCGUGGACGCCAGUCUGCGUGGAGCCAACCUUGAAAUACCACCCUUUAAUGUUUGAUGUUCUAACGUGGACCCGUAAUCCGGGUUGCGGACAGUGUCUGGUGGGUAGUUUGACUGGGGCGGUCUCCUCCUAAAGAGUAACGGAGGAGCACGAAGGUUGGCUAAUCCUGGUCGGACAUCAGGAGGUUAGUGCAAUGGCAUAAGCCAGCUUGACUGCGAGCGUGACGGCGCGAGCAGGUGCGAAAGCAGGUCAUAGUGAUCCGGUGGUUCUGAAUGGAAGGGCCAUCGCUCAACGGAUAAAAGGUACUCCGGGGAUAACAGGCUGAUACCGCCCAAGAGUUCAUAUCGACGGCGGUGUUUGGCACCUCGAUGUCGGCUCAUCACAUCCUGGGGCUGAAGUAGGUCCCAAGGGUAUGGCUGUUCGCCAUUUAAAGUGGUACGCGAGCUGGGUUUAGAACGUCGUGAGACAGUUCGGUCCCUAUCUGCCGUGGGCGCUGGAGAACUGAGGGGGGGCUGCUCCUAGUACGAGAGGACCGGAGUGGACGCAUCACUGGUGUUCGGGUUGUCAUGCCAAUGGCACUGCCCGGUAGCUAAAUGCGGAAGAGAUAAGUGCUGAAAGCAUCUAAGCACGAAACUUGCCCCGAGAUGAGUUCUCCCUGAGACUUAGAGUCUCCUGAAGGAACGUUGAAGACGACGACGUUGAUAGGCCGGGUGUGUAAGCGCAGCGAUGCGUUGAGCUAACCGGUACUAAUGAACCGUGAGGCUUAACCUU